AGAGUUUGAUCAUGGCUCAGGAUGAACGCUAGCGAUAGGCCUAACACAUGCAAGUCGAGGGGCAGCACAUGAAGUAGCAAUACGGAUGGUGGCGACCGGCGCACGGGUGAGUAACGCGUAUGCAACCUGCCUACAACAGGGGAAUAACCCGUUGAAAGACGGACUAAUACCCCAUAACACAGGGAUCCCGCAUGGGAAUAUUUGUUAAAGAUUUAUCGGUUGUAGAUGGGCAUGCGUUCCAUUAGCUGGUUGGUGAGGUAACGGCUCACCAAGGCAACGAUGGAUAGGGGAACUGAGAGGUUUAUCCCCCACACUGGUACUGAGACACGGACCAGACUCCUACGGGAGGCAGCAGUGAGGAAUAUUGGUCAAUGGACGCAAGUCUGAACCAGCCACGUCGCGUGAAGGAAGACGGCCCUACGGGUUGUAAACUUCUUUUGUAAGGGAAUAAAGUGCAGUACGUGUACUGUUUUGCAUGUACCUUACGAAUAAGGAUCGGCUAACUCCGUGCCAGCAGCCGCGGUAAUACGGAGGAUCCGAGCGUUAUCCGGAUUUAUUGGGUUUAAAGGGUGCGCAGGCGGGAGAUUAAGUCGGCGGUGAAAUUUUGCAGCUCAACUGUAAAAGUGCCUUCGAAACUGGUUUUCUUGAGUGUGGAUGAAGUAGGCGGAAUUUGUGGUGUAGCGGUGAGAUGCAUAGAUAUCACGAGGAACUCCGAUUGCGCAGGCAGCUUACUAAACCAUAACUGACGCUCAGGCACGAAGGCGUCUGGAUCAAACAGGAUUAGAUACCCUGGUAGUC
rnacentral:rRNA from 1 species